CAGUAUAUAAAGAGAUUAAAUGAAGAACUGAAAGUUUCAUGGAAAUAGCUUGAAGAUCAUAAACGAAGAUAUGCAAGAAGAGUGAGAUUAUGGUUCCACUUGGCGCAAAAGUAGCAGGAAACUGCCUUCACUGUUGUGGAACGAAAGAUAAAGACUCUGUGACGAAAAGCAAACCCCUAGAGGAGAAAACAUCUGAGCUCCAGGAGGAAUGCUUUUAGAUUUUUAUAAGAACCGUCAUGAAUAUAUGCAGAAGUAUACUAGUGCUGGACCUUCUUAAGAAAUGGGAAACAAAAGUUCCUGCUGUGUCUGGACUACAGCGAUAAUGAUCUCUGCUUGUGCAGGCCCAAGAGAGCACCCAUAUCCACAGCUCUAAAGCAUUAUUCUCUACAAAUCAAGCUCUUUGAAAAGUUGAUGAUUCCCUAAGCAUACCAUCCUCCAGGAAAGAUGAAGACAGUCUGAAUAGACAUUCCACCACUGAGCUCAAGCAUCAAUCCUGUAGCCCUUUGGCAUCUGACUUGGCUCUUCUCCCAGACAACGCAGAACUUUGCAGCCCUGUUUGAAUUCCCUUCCGGCACGGGUCCUCUUCCAUGUGGGCCAGAAGACCAAGGCAGGUGGCUGACAGCAAUUGACCGAAUUGUCUUUAACUGCUGACAGAAAAUGUGUAAAAGUCAAACUAAGAAUAAAUAUAUGAAACACAGUAAAAGCAAUGAAAGGUCACAAAAUGAUGAUGAAUCACGGUUCCUUCCAACACUUCGCUGUUAGACACUAAAAUUAGGUAAUUUUUUAGAGAAACUUGGAAAAGUCCCAAUUUUUCUCCAUUCCUCAAGGAUAUUCUCAGGAUUUGUUUUUUAAUUUAUUGCUUUAGUUUUGCAGUCUC